rnacentral:rRNA from 1 species
AUGGAACGCUGGCGGCAUGCCUUACACAUGCAAGUCGAACGGCAGCACGGGAGCAAUCCUGGUGGCGAGUGGCGAACGGGUGAGUAAAGUAUCGGAACGUGCCCAGUCGUGGGGGAUAACGUAGCGAAAGUUACGCUAAUACCGCAUACGAUCUAUGGAUGAAAGCGGGGGAUCGCAAGACCUCGCGCGAUUGGAGCGGCCGAUAUCAGAUUAGGGAGUUGGUCGGGUAAAGGCUCACCAAGCCGACGAGCUGUAGCUGGUCUGAGAGGACGACCAGGCACACUGGGACUGAGACACGGCGCAGACUCGUACGGGAGGCAGCAGUGGGGAAUGUUGGACAAUGGGCGAAAGCCUGAUCCAGCCAUGCCGAGUGCAGGAGGAAGGCCUUCGGGUUGUAAACUGCUUUUGUACGGAACGAAAAGGUUUGGCCUAAUAAGCGGAGCUCAUGACGGUACCGUAAGAAGAAGCACCGGCUAACUACGUGCCAGCCGCCGCAGUAA